rnacentral:rRNA from 1 species
GGAAGAAGAUUGAAAGACGGCUCUGCUGUCACUUAUAGAUGACCUUGCGGUGCAUUAGUUAGUUGGUGGGGUAACGGCCUACCAAGACGAUGAUGCAUAGCCGACCUGAGAGGGUGAUCGGCCACAUUGGGACUGAGACACGGCCCAAACUCCUACGGGAGGCAGCAGUAGGGAAUCUUCCGCAAUGGGCGAAAGCCUGACGGAGCAAUGCCGCGUGAGUGAAGAAGGCCUUCGGGUCGUAAAACUCUGUUAUAAGAGAAGAACAAAUUGUAGAGUAACUGCUACAGUCUUGACGGUAUCUUAUCAGAAAGCCACGGCUAACUACGUGCCAGCAGCCGCGGUAAUACGUAGGUGGCAAGCGUUGUCCGGAUUUAUUGGGCGUAAAGGGAGCGCAGGUGGUUUCUUAAGUCUGAUGUGAAAGCCCACGGCUUAACCGUGGAGGGUCAUUGGAAACUGGGAAACUUGAGUACAGAAGAGGAAUGUGGAACUCCAUGUGUAGCGGUGGAAUGCGUAGAUAUAUGGAAGAACACCAGUGGCGAAGGCGACAUUCUGGUCUGUUACUGACACUGAGGCUCGAAAGCGUGGGGAGCAAACAGGAUUAGAUACCCUGGUAGUCCACGCCGUAAACGAUGAGUGCUAGGUGUUGGAGGGUUUCCGCCCUUCAGUGCCGCAGUUAACGCAUUAAGCACUCCGCCUGGGGAGUA